CUACGGGCGGCAGCAGUGGGGAAUAUUGCACAAUGGGGGGAACCCUGAUGCAGCAACGCCGCGUGGAGGAUGACGCAUUUCGGUGUGUAAACUCCUUUUAUAUGUCAAGAAAAUGACGGUAGCAUAUGAAUAAGCACCGGCUAACUCCGUGCCAGCAGCCGCGGUAAUACGGGGGGUGCAAGCGUUACUCGGAAUCACUGGGCGUAAAGGACGCGUAGGCGGGUUGGAAAGUCAGGUGUGAAAUCCUACAGCUUAACUGUAGAACUGCACUUGAAACUUCUAAUCUAGAGUAUGGGAGGGGGAGAUGGAAUUAGUGGUGUAGGGGUAAAAUCCGUAGAUAUCACUAGGAAUACCUAAAGCGAAGGCGAUCUCCUGGAACAUUACUGACGCUAAGGCGUGAAAGCGUGGGGAGCAAACAGGAUUAGAUACCCUCGUAGUC
rnacentral:rRNA from 1 species